rnacentral:rRNA from 1 species
AUUGAACGCUGGCGGCAGGCCUAACACAUGCAAGUCGAGCGAGCGGCGGACGGGUGUGUAAUGUCUGGGAAACUGUCUGAUGGAGGGGGAUAACUACUGGAAACGGUAGCUAAUACCGCAUAUCCUCAGAUGUGCCCAGAUGGGGUGAGCUAGUAGGUGGGGUAACGGCUCACCUAGGCGACGAUCCCCAGCUGGUCUGAGAGGAUGACCAGCCACACGGGAACUGAGACACGGUCCAGACGCCUACGGGAGGCAGCAGUGGGGAAUAUUGCACAAUGGGCGCAAGCCUGAUGCAGCCAGGCCGCGUGUGUGAAGAAGGCCUUCGGGUUGUAAAGCACUUUCAGCGGGGAGGCGUUACCCGCAGAAGAAGCACAGGCUAACUCCGUGCCAGCAGCCGCGGUAAUUC